rnacentral:lncRNA from 1 species
GAAAAAAAAAAAUCUAACAGUUCUUUGCCACUAUACUAGUGUAUUUAAUUAUGAUUGCGAAAAAUUGCAGAGGGAAACGAUUUGCUGGCAAUUAAGUAGCAACUGGUUAAAGUUUUUUUUCAAUUUGUCUUUGAAGACAACUGCUGUACUAUGUAUAAAGAAGAGUAUAGCAGGGAAGUUCGAAAGCACACACGGAAUUUUAAAUCUGUUAAAAAUAUUUUUUAAGCAAAGAAGGUGGUAUUUUAAAAGCAUUUAAAACAGCGCCUGGUAUAUAGUAAGCGCCAUAGAAGUCUGUUAAGAAUGCAUAGGGCAAGAGAGCUCAGGGUUUUGAACGCUAUCAAAAUAAUAUGCUUAUUUAUCUGCAAAACACAAUAGCAAUUAGGCAGCACGAGAUUUCCCCAUUAGGUCGUUUAUUCUCCUCAGCUGUUUAUUCCAUUUGCCUGUCCCUUGGUUGAGCGCCUUGUCUGUCUAUAACCGAAAGUGCGUUUCGGGUCAGAGAGACAGAAACAGACACAGGAAACCCUUUAAAGCGCCCCCGCCGACUUAAAUACGGUAGUGGAUUGGAGGUGGGGAGGUGUAGGGGAGGCGUUAUGUGGAGAGAAAGAAAAGAGAAAGAAUGAGGGAACGGCGGGAUUUCAAGCCUCCCCGCCCUUCUGCGACAACCUUUUCAGCGAAAGGGAAGGCUUAGGAAGAAAAGAUGUCCGCGCGUAGAGCAAACCGCAGUUCUUUCCUUUCUUUUUGAAGGAUUUGUACCAUGAGUUAAUUACACCAAAAGAUACGAGGGACUUUAUUAGAAAGGAGAUGCCGUUAGGAAAGAAAGGCCAGGACGGCCGAUCUAAAGGGAAUGGAGAAGGGAAGACUCAGACGCCCUCCCGAAAUUGGUGGUCUAGCCUGUGUUUUGUGCUAAAUGUUAUUUAACUUAAUGGCGUGGGAGUGAGAUGUUGAAUGCAGAGAUCUGGAAAUACCAGAUUUAGUGGUCCUGUUCCUCCUCCCCGACUCUUUUCACACCCAUUUAAUAAAAAGUUACAGUUUUUACACCCGUAUUGAUAAAUUUGGCGAUGUUGGCCAAGUAUUAUCUCGCCCCGCAGAUUUUGAAUUUUGUUGCACAAACCGAUGAAAUGAUUGCUUUGCUAUAAUUGUAAAACUUUUUUGGAACGAACCUGGAUUUUUUUUAUGCCUCUUCAUCUACUUUUUGCUUCAUUAGAGCCCUCUGGUUUUCCAAGAUCGACUGUCACACUUUGUUAUUUGUUGCUUCUCUAAAUCCUUUGAGAUGCUGCUCGCAGCUACGUAAAAAACGUUGGCCACUCAGGUAUUUGAUGGGCUUAGAAAGUCACCAAGAUGUGACACCAUUUAAAAGUUUUAGCUUGGUUUCUCAGUGAAAUAAGGGCAUCUCUGUUAAUUAGAAAACUUUGUGUUAGUCUGAGAUGCCUAAGAGCAUAGUCCAAAUUGAAAAUUCCAAUAUUUUGCCACAUCUGAAAUAUAAUUAUUUACACAGCCUUCUCUUUCAAAGGGAGGACAAACAGGUUGCCUUGAGAAGAGCUAUUCUAUUUGCAAUUGCUGGGGCAGGUGACAAACACGUGUGUAUCUGUGGGCAGCCUUGUUGGGCUGCCUUCCCUGACUACAAGGCUUUUGUGAGCUGGUAACGCCUUAAAAUGUGUGAGAAUGCUGCGCCCUAGGAGUGGAGGCCAAGGGCAAGAUCCUUGUACAUUUCAAUACCUUUUCCAACAUCAGGCUGGCAGCAGGCAGGCCAACCUAGGGUCACUGUGUGACACAUAUUUGCAAGCCAGUAAAGCAAAACAAAGCUGAAAGCAAGUGCAAAUUUAGGCCCACCAACCUUGAAGUCAUCCCUGAAAGGGAGCUGCUUUACUAGUUAAUUUUUCUUGCCCAGUCAGCCACACAAAAUGCAUUGUAUUUCUUGGCUUGCCCCAGUAAUUGCGACUUACUUGUUACAGCAGAAGCUUCAAGGUAGGAAAUCUAUGACCCAAAGCUCUCUCUCGAAAGUUAGAAUGUUUAAACUGAUCUUUAAAACUGUUGUUGAGGGGCAAUUUAUUUAAAAGCUUUUAUUUUAUGGUGUUGUUAGUGCUUAGCAUGCCUCAGGAUAAAGACUAGUUUUAUUGCAGGACCCUUGAGAAGAGGGGUGUAUAGCAAGUAACCAGUUUUCCGUGUGCCAGUAAGCAACAGUGAGAACACUCAGUGUAUUAGCUUAACUUUUUGUGGGAGUUAAAUUGAUGUUGGCAGGCUUUGCCUUUAAGGAAGUUCUUUUAAAUUUCCAUUUUCUUGAAGUUGGUUUGAUUGGCAGAUUUCCCCCCUCUCUUAAGGAUACAAUGAAACAUAUUCACUUCUCUUAUGAAAAUAUUCUUUUAAUAAACUACAUUCCCAUCCCCUAGAAAAAUGCCCAGCACACAGUAGGGGUACAAUAAAUGGUUUCAGAUUAAUUUCUUGUUAAAAUUAAUGAACUCUCUGCUUCUUUACUUGUAUAUGUAGAAUUUACACUCAUUGGAAUAAUAAAAUAGAAGUAAGCAACCGUGCAUUAAAAAGCUAUGAAAAGAUGAAGAGAAUAUGCCUUCAAAUGGGAAGGAAUACUUAACUGUGAAUAAGACCUAGUUCAACAUGGAACUUCCUGGUGGCCAAGUCAGAAGAGAAGCACAGAACAAAAACGGAGGCACAGAGAGGUCAAUUGAUUGGUCUAAUGACACAGAUCUAGCAAGUGGUGGAACCAGGACUGAAUCCAGAGAAUCUGGAAGACUACUCUGCCAAGACAUCUCAAAAAGUGUGUGUCCGGAAUUGGUGGGUUCUUGGUCUCACUGAC